GACGAACGCUGGCGGCGUGCUUAACACAUGCAAGUCGAACGGUAAGGCCCUUCGGGGUACACGAGUGGCGAACGGGUGAGUAACACGUGGGUGAUCUGCCCUGCACUUCGGGAUAAGCCUGGGAAACUGGGUCUAAUACCGGAUAGGACUCCGGACUGCAUGGUCUGAGGGGGAAAGCUUUUGCGGUGUGGGAUGGGCCCGCGGCCUAUCAGCUUGUUGGUGGGGUGAUGGCCUACCAAGGCGACGACGGGUAGCCGGCCUGAGAGGGUGACCGGCCACACUGGGACCGAGAUACGGCCCAGACUCCUACGGGAGGCAGCAGUGGGGAAUAUUGCACAAUGGGCGCAAGCCUGAUGCAGCGACGCCGCGUGAGGGAUGACGGCCUUCGGGUUGUAAACCUCUUUCAGCAUCGACGAAGCGAAAGUGACGGUAGGUGCAGAAGAAGGACCGGCCAACUACGUGCCAGCAGCCGCCGUAA
rnacentral:rRNA from 1 species